rnacentral:rRNA from 1 species
CGCAUCUGUGCAUGCAGCAUAUCAAUAAGCGGAGGAAAAGGCAUACCUACGCUUAGGAUGUUGACGAGACUGUCGAUCUCAUCUAUACAUGACUCUGUGCAUAUCAAUAAGCGGAGGAAAAGAAACUAACAAGGAUUCCCUUAGUAACGGCGAGUGAAGCGGGAAGAGCUCAAAUUUGAAAUCUUCAAGGUUUUACCUUGACGAAUUGUAGUUUAAAGAAGUGUUUUCUGUUGAAGUUUUGGUAAAAGUUCUUUGGAAUAGGACAUCAUAGAGGGUGAGAAUCCCGUAUUUGACCAUUAUUUUCAGCUGUGUGAUACACUUUCAAAGAGUCGGAUUGUUUGGGAAUGCAGUCCAAAAUGGGUGGUAAAUUUCAUCUAAAGCUAAAUAUUGGCGAGAGACCGAUAGCGAACAAGUACCGUGAGGGAAAGAUGAAAAGAACUUUGAAAAGAGAGUUAAACAGUACGUGAAAUUGUCAAAAGGGAAGCGUUUGACACCAGUGUUGUUUUCUCGAAAAUCAAUUAAAAAGAGUUUGAUUUUGUUGUGUAUUGACCUUAACAGCUUGCAUUUCAAUUUUCUUGCUUUUUUUAAUGCACUUUUCGUUUAACAAGUCAACAUCAGUUUCUUUUGUUGUAAAAAGGUCAUUGGAAGGUGGCUUUCUUUUCGGAGAAAGUGUUUAUAGCCUUUGACUCCUGCAAUCGGAGAGACUGAGGUCUGCAGCGUAGAUCCUUCGGGGUUAGAUACAUUUGUGCUAAGUUAUAGCUUUUUAUAGACAACUUGUUGACUAUGAUUAGUCUUGUAGCUUACUCGCUUAUGCUAUUUUACCUACGCUUAGGAUGUUGAUGUGAUACUGCGAGC